GAUCAUGGCUCAGGAUGAACGCUAGCUACAGGCUUAACACAUGCAAGUCGAGGGGCAGCAUUAGGUAGCAAUACUGAGAUGGCGACCGGCGCACGGGUGCGUAACGCGUAUCCAACUUUCCCGUUACUCUGGGAUAGCCUUCCGAAAGGGAGAUUAAUACCGGAUGGUGUUUGAAUUCCGCAUGUUAUUCAAACUAAAGAUUUAUCGGUAACGGAUAGGGAUGCGUGACAUUAGGUAGAUGGCGGGGUAACGGCCCACCAUGCCCACGAUGUCUAGGGGUUCUGAGAGGACGGUCCCCCACACUGGUACUGAGACACGGACCAGACUCCUACGGGAGGCAGCAGUAAGGAAUAUUGGGCAAUGGAGGCAACUCUGACCCAGCCAUGCCGCGUGAAGGAUGGAGGCCCUACGGGUCGUAAACUUCUUUUGUCAGGGAAUAAAGUCAUCUACGUGUAGAUGUUUGCAGGUACCUGAAGAAUAAGCAUCGGCUAACUCCGUG
rnacentral:rRNA from 1 species